rnacentral:rRNA from 1 species
GAUGAACGCUGGCGGCGUGCUUGACACAUGCAAGUCGAACGGUGAACACGGAGCUUGCUCUGUGGGAUCAGUGGCGAACGGGUGAGUAACACGUGAGCAACCUGCCCCUGACUCUGGGAUAAGCGCUGGAAACGGCGUCUAAUACUGGAUAUGUGACGUGACCGCAUGGUCUGCGUUUGGAAAGAUUUUUCGGUUGGGGAUGGGCUCGCGGCCUAUCAGCUUGUUGGUGAGGUAAUGGCUCACCAAGGCGUCGACGGGUAGCCGGCCUGAGAGGGUGACCGGCCACACUGGGACUGAGACACGGCCCAGACUCCUACGGGAGGCAGCAGUGGGGAAUAUUGCACAAUGGGCGCAAGCCUGAUGCAGCAACGCCGCGUGAGGGAUGACGGCCUUCGGGUUGUAAACCUCUUUUAGCAGGGAAGAAGCGAAAGUGACGGUACCUGCAGAAAAAGCGCCGGCUAACUACGUG